rnacentral:rRNA from 1 species
AUGGCGAAGUGUUGCAAGUGUUGCUGCUGCCCGUAUGGACCACCACGAAACUGUAGGCGGUGGUUCGCCGGCUUGGGCAUCGGCCUCGCGGUGGCCGCCGUCCUCGCGGCUAUCACCGUCGUCGUCUUACGCUUCGGCGUCGUCCCCCAAGUCAAGGCCAAGGUCUACGACGCCCGUCUCAACAGCUUCGCCUUCGCCAACAGAACGGCCGGCGCGGCGGCGCCUACGCCCGUCUUCGCCUUCGACAUCUCGGUGGCUCUCGCCGUCCGCAAUCCCAGCGGGGCGGUCAUGAAGCACACCAGGCCCCUCGUGGCCACCUCCGUCUUCCACGACCGGCGCCUGUACAACGCCACCGUCGCCGGCGAGGGGCACAAGCACAAGAUGCUCAAGACGAAGGUGCACGUCGUCCACGCCGUCGGGGACGUCCCGGCGUACGUGCUGGACGCGGCGGCGGAGGAGGAUUUCAAGAAGCAGAACGCGACGGGCGUGUUCGGUGUCGAGAUGCGCCUCUCCGGGGAGGUCACCUACGUGGGGCUCGACGGCCUCGGCAACAAGCGCAAGCUGGGCUUCAGCUGCCCGCUCGCUCUGCCGCUGGCGCCGCCGGGCCCCGAGGUCGUCGUGUUCGCUGAGGUCACCUGUAAGGCUCAGGAGCCCGACAAGAUCUACUUUUGA